rnacentral:rRNA from 1 species
GAUGAACGCUGGCGGCGUGCCUAAUACAUGCAAGUCGAGCGAACGGACGAGAAGCUUGCUUCUCUGAUGUUAGCGGCGGACGGGUGAGUAACACGUGGAUACCCUACCUAUAAGACUGGGAUAACUUCGGGAAACCGGAGCUAAUACCGGAUGAUAUUUUGAACCGCAUGGUUCAAAAGUGAAAGACGGUCUUGCUGUCACUUAUAGAUGGAUCCGCGCUGCAUUAGCUAGUUGGUAAGGUAACGGGUUACCAAGGCAACGAUGCAUAGCCGACCUGAGAGGGUGAUCGCCCACACUGGAACGGGAACACGGUCCAGAGUCCUACGGGAGGCAGCAGUAGGGAAUCUGCCGCAAUGGGCGAAAGCCUGACGGAGCAACGCCGCGUGAGUGAUGACGGUCUUCGGAUCGUAAAACUCUGUCAUUAGGGAAGAACAUAUGUGUAAGUAACUGUGCACAUCUUGACGGUACCUAAUCAGAAAGCCACGGCUAACUACGUG